GGGGUGAGGACAGUGUCUGGUGGGUAGUUUGACUGGGGCGGUCUCCUCCCAAAGAGUAACGGAGGAGCACGAAGGUUAGCUAAUCACGGUCGGACAUCGUGAGGUUAGUGCAAAGGCAUAAGCUAGCUUGACUGCGAGAGUGACGGCUCGAGCAGGUACGAAAGUAGGUCUUAGUGAUCCGGUGGUUCUGAAUGGAAGGGCCAUCGCUCAACGGAUAAAAGGUACUCCGGGGAUAACAGGCUGAUACCGCCCAAGAGUUCAUAUCGACGGCGGUGUUUGGCACCUCGAUGUCGGCUCAUCACAUCCUGGGGCUGAAGUAGGUCCCAAGGGUAUGGCUGUUCGCCAUUUAAAGUGGUACGCGAGCUGGGUUUAGAACGUCGUGAGACAGUUCGGUCCCUAUCUGCCGUGGGCGUUGGAAGAUUGAGAGGGGUUGCUCCUAGUACGAGAGGACCGGAGUGAACGCACCACUGGUGUUCGGGUUGUCAUGCCAAUGGCAUUGCCCGGUAGCUAAGUGCGGAAAAGAUAAGCGCUGAAAGCAUCUAAGCGCGAAACUUGCCUCGAGAUGAGUCUUCCCUGGGAACUUGAUUCCCCUGAAGGAACGUUUAAGACUAAGACGUUGAUAGGCUGGGUGUGUAAGUGCAGCGAUGCAUUGAGCUAACCAGUACUAAUGAUCCGUGAGACUUAACCUUACAACACCAAAAGUGUUUUG
rnacentral:rRNA from 1 species